CCCUUAGAGUAAAAUACUGGCUCAGGAUGAACGCUAGAUACAGGCUUAACACAUGCAAGUCGAGGGGCAGCAUGGUCUUAGCUUGCUAAGGCUGAUGGCGACCGGCGCACGGGUGAGUAACACGUAUCCAACCUGCCGUCUACUCUUGGCCAGCCUUCUGAAAGGAAGAUUAAUCCAGGAUGGGAUCAUGAGUUCACAUGUCCGCAUGAUUAAAGGUAUUUUCCGGUAGACGAUGGGGAUGCGUUCCAUUAGAUAGUAGGCGGGGUAACGGCCCACCUAGUCAACGAUGGAUAGGGGUUCUGAGAGGAAGGUCCCCC
rnacentral:rRNA from 1 species